rnacentral:rRNA from 1 species
GAUGAACGCUGGCGGCGUGCCUAAUACAUGCGAGUCGAGCGAACAGACGAGGAGCUUGCUCCUCUGACGUUAGCGGCGGACGGGUGAGUAACACGUGGAUAACCUACCUAUAAGACUGGGAUAACUUCGGGAAACCGGAGCUAAUACCGGAUAAUAUAUUGAACCGCAUGGUUCAAUAGUGAAAGACGGUUUUGCUGUCACUUAUAGAUGGAUCCGCGCCGCAUUAGCUAGUUGGUAAGGUAACGGCUUACCAAGGCAACGAUGCGUAGCCGACCUGAGAGGGUGAUCGGCCACACUGGAACUGAGACACGGUCCAGACUCCUACGGGAGGCAGCAGUAGGGAAUCUUCCGCAAUGGGCGAAAGCCUGACGGAGCAACGCCGCGUGAGUGAUGAAGGUCUUCGGAUCGUAAAACCCUGUUAUUAGGGAAGAACAAAUGUGUAAGUAACUAUGCACGUCUUGACGGUACCUAAUCAGAAAGCCACGGCUAACUACGUG